GCAAGCAAUAAAAUUUUCAAAGAUAAUAAGAGUUUGCAAAGAUCUUAGAUGGUAUUCUUUAAUGGCAAUUGAUAAAAAUACAAGGUUUAUGUUCAGAAAUGUUAGCCUUAGUUUUUUCUCUUAUACUAUCAAUGGACGAUCAACUAUAGUUGUAAUUCCAACUAAAAAUUCUUCCACAUUUUAACGGUCCAUUUAUUGAGCUACAUUGAUGAGAUCAAUGGUGGCUGGAACUGCAAGUUAAUUGCAAUUGCAAGGAUAAUAAAACUAUACAAAGCAAAACAAAUACCAGAAAUUCCAACCUCAGUCAUAGCAACCACUUCUUGUAGUGCUACUUGCUGAGCAAUACAGACCUUUGAGAAGUUCCUAAUGGUACAAGUAGAAUUAUUUUUUCCAAGAACCAAAAGUCAUUUCAGUUCCUAUGGCUUACUUACUAAGCACUAAUAGAUACAAAAGCCCCUGACUCUGAUAGCGGGAAAAGGGAAAGUAUUAAGUAAUAGAAUCUAGCCAUAGCCCCAUAGUGCAUCUUGCAUUGUGUACUUCAAGAAUUGAAUAGGUAUUAGUUGUGCUCAAAUAAAAUUUUCCAGAUUGUGUACCUAUUACAUAUUCUGAUCCUCUACGGAAAGGGCUAGAAUCACUUUUGUUUGGCAGCAAUUAACUUUAGAUAAUGAGAGCCUUUGCCACUAACUUGAUGGUCCUAGUUGUUCCGGCACAAUCCAAGAAUGAGGAAUCCAUAUGAACCUUUUUCUCACCAAGGGAAAAAAGGAAUUGGCAUGUCAUCAAACCUGGACUUGUUUGUUCAUCACAUUGUCUCUCAAAAUUUAGUGUUCAUUGAAAAAACAUCUAACCAUGACCUAUGUGCCAGACUUUUUAUUUGGUAAAUACUCUCCAGCAUAGCUCAGCAGUGCAAAAACCUGAGUACCUUCAUAUGCAAUUGGAAACUAUUAUAAAAUAUUAAAUGAAAUCUUCAAAGAGAAAAUAAACUCUACAUAUUGCCAUCAGGAUGAAGCUUGCACAUGCGAUUGUUGUCACCAAUAGCUAAUAAAUACCCUGGGGAUGUCAAGCCCUGCAAACAUAAGAGUGAACUAAAUACAAAAGAAUGCAUUAUUUCAAGUCUAUGCACCAGUACCCCUUGUGAAAUGUAAUGCAUCUGAAUUAAUGCUAAAUAUGAACCGACCAUUUAUAUUAUAUUUUUUUCCCCAAAUUAAAGACAUGGUUCUUGCUUAUUCCCAUUCCACUAAGGAUUUCCAUGCAUAAAAAAGAUGGUAUAUAGCCAGUGUUCAAAAUAAAAGGGAAAAAAGGUUAUAGUAACAUAAUUGGAAUCCUAAACAAAUUUUUAUUUUGGUACAAUCGAUUAGGACUCAAACUUGAGAUCUCACAUUCCUGAAGACAACUCCAAUAUUAUUAGUUUUGACAAAUCUUCUACAGUUUUAUUAGUUUUGGCAGAAAACUACAAGUUAUUCUGCAUAUAAACCUUUCUAAAAAUAAAAACAAGAACAAGGCAGCUACAGAUGGUCAAGCAAGAAGCUAAUUGCAGAGCUAGCAAGAAGCUAAUUGCA
rnacentral:misc_RNA from 1 species